UACGUAGGGUGCAAGCGUUGUCCGGAAUUAUUGGGCGUAAAGAGCUCGUAGGCGGUUUGUCGCGUCUGCUGUGAAAACCCGAGGCUCAACCUCGGGCCUGCAGUGGGUACGGGCAGACUAGAGUGCGGUAGGGGAGAUUGGAAUUCCUGGUGUAGCGGUGGAAUGCGCAGAUAUCAGGAGGAACACCGAUGGCGAAGGCAGAUCUCUGGGCCGUUACUGACGCUGAGACGCGAAAGCGUGGGGAGCGAACAGG
rnacentral:rRNA from 1 species